rnacentral:rRNA from 1 species
UACGUAGGCAGCGAGCGUUGUUCGGAAUUACUGGGCGUAAAGAGUGUGUAGGCGGUGCUCUAAGUUCGGUGUGAAAUCUCCCGGCUUAACUGGGAGGGUGCGCCGGAAACUGGAGUGCUCGAGCGUGGGAGAGGAAAGCGGAAUUCCUGGUGUAGCGGUGAAAUGCGUAGAUAUCGGAAGGAACACCUGUGGCGAAAGCGGCUCACUGGACCAUUACUGACGCUGAUGCACGAAAGCUAGGGGAGCAAACAGG